GACGAACGCUGGCGGCGUGCUUAACACAUGCAAGUCGAACGGAAAGGCCCUGCUUUUGUGGGGUGCUCGAGUGGCGAACGGGUGAGUAACACGUGAGUAACCUGCCCUUGACUUUGGGAUAACUUCAGGAAACUGGGGCUAAUACCGGAUAGGAGCUCCUGCUGCAUGGUGGGGGUUGGAAAGUUUCGGCGGUUGGGGAUGGACUCGCGGCUUAUCAGCUUGUUGGUGGGGUAGUGGCUUACCAAGGCUUUGACGGGUAGCCGGCCUGAGAGGGUGACCGGCCACAUUGGGACUGAGAUACGGUCCAGACUCCUACGGGAGGCAGCAGUGGGGAAUAUUGCACAAUGGGCGGAAGCCUGAUGCAGCAACGCCGCGUGCGGGAUGACGGCCUUCGGGUUGUAAACCGCUUUCGCCUGUGACGAAGCGUGAGUGACGGUAAUGGGUAAAGAAGCACCGGCUAACUACGUGC
rnacentral:rRNA from 1 species